GCCGCGUGGGUGAGCGUGGACGUGAAUCCUCCCCCAGUCAAGGCUUGAAAUGGCUGCAACCCUAAUCAGCCCCUUGGCUGAAACCUCCCGGAUUCUUGGCCCUGGGAAACUUCCAGGAGCUGUCGGGCUCAGUGAGCAUCUUGAUGUUCCGUAAGAUCCGGUUCCUGAUGUCCCCAUGGGCUGGAGCUCGUGCCCUGGCGGAUCCCUUGUGGAGCAUCACCUAGAGAACUGGGACUGGUCAUGGCGCAGCAUGAUGAUGAGAAGCAGCUGGAAAACCCGGCCACCACCGGCCCCUUCCACAGGCCCUCACAGAACCCGGCCCACGCCAGACCGUCCGUCUGUCAAACGCUUAAACUGCAACAGCGCGGGCGGCGUGUGGCGAGAACAUCCGAGGCUCAGGGCUCAGGGUCCCGGGGCCGCUCAGCCCUGCCCCUCGCAGAGGGAUUCGCUUGCAGCCGCCGAGUCUCCCUCGCCUGGAACGAGAAGGCCGGGCUAAGGUCAGUUCCGUGGAAAUCGGGCUUGGGGUCGUAGAGCCCUUCCCACGGCCACCUUCAAAGUCGCCCCUAAACAGCUGCCCUCCCCGGAGGUCUGCCCUCAGAUCUAGGCUCCGGUCCCCCUCGAGCCUCUGCGCCUCCCGCCAUUGGCACGGUAUUCGCGGGGCGCCCACCGCGGACUCACUGAGUGCCUACUAUGGGUCACGCCUUGUGCCAAGGGCUUUCCAGAAGGGCCAAGGGGCCGCGCCUGAGCCGCCCGCAGAGGCAGCCGGCUCUGGAAGCGGAGAGCGCCGCCCGUCCCUGGCCUGGAGCUGACACGCCUAGCCCCGGACGUCACAUGCCACCACUCGCAUUGCCAUCCUCGCCACCACCAGUGUCCCAGAACUCGGUCCUUUGCCACUCUCCCCCCUUGUGACAGGACUUUUGGUGUCUGGAGAAGUCCCCUUUGACGUGCGGCUCUGAGGCAGGGACCUGCACCGCAGCUGCAAGGGAGAGAGAGGGUAGCCGGCCUUCUACAGUGAAAGCAUCCCUUGAACAUGGGAAACAGAGUCCACGUGCUGGACAUCCAAAAAGAGUGACAGGCGUGCACGCGAAGGCUCUCCACUACAGCGUCCCUGCUUUCAGAGCAGGAACCCGGGGCUUGGCAAGGUUAAAGGACAUGCCCGAGGCGAUGGGGAUGGAAGUGGCCAGCGAACCUGCACCUUGUACUGGGAACCUUUAUCUGUUUCCAUUACCCAGACCUUCCGGGGUGAGGGGAGAAAUACCUCUGGGCUAUACAAACAAUGAAUUCUGUUUAUACAAACCAAUCCACCUAAAACCUACUUAUUUGUAGUUUGUACUUGCCAAAAGGCCAUCAAGUCCUUAUGUAACUCCCACAUGGCUUAUCAACAUGUUAAGAGAGAAACUAUAUUUUGUCAACCCUGAACUGUCCAGAAUAAUGUUACAAACUUUGACAAUAUUGCCAGAGGUUAAGAUAAAAAUGAGGCAGUUUAGAUGCAUGAUAACCAGGAAUCCGAAAGUCCCUGGAUCCUGUUCUCCCAAACAUUGCUCCCAGCACGCUCCUGAGGAAGCCACACUCCUCGAACCCCAUGCAACUAAAAGUUGAUCAAGGGCCUUAAAUGCCAAGAAACAGCUUUCAGUCUCAGAUUUGGGGGAUGCACCUGGCACACGUAAAGAGUGUGCCCUUUGUCCUGUUACAAAAGAAAAUCGGAGAACCAGCUUAUUCGGAUGUACCUUUGAGAAGGAGGCUGAAUCUUCACACAAGACUGGGCUUACUUGGCUCAGCAAAGAUGUAAGAGCGGAGGAAGAGCAGAAGGGUGGGGGCGCAGAUAUCCCCCGCCUCUCGGGCCGCGGCCCCACAGUGAGCUCCAGCCCUCCAAGAGUCACUCCUCCUGCCGCGUUUGCUGUUUCCCAGCUUCGCGCCUGGGGCAGUGCUCACCGUGGGACACGUCCGUGUUCUUUCCCCUCCUGCAAUGCCCUCUGGAGUGAGGCGUCUGAGGUCGGGUCCAGACUAACACAAAAACAAACAUGGAAUCUCUCGAGUAAUUUGCAUAGAGUUGAUCUAAAAGCCCAUUAAAUCUGUGUGUCAAAAAGAGGAGAAUAGUGCUCUCGACGCUAGAAAUGCCUGUCAGGAGUGCAGAAUGAACUGCACGUUUUAAGAAAGGCUUCACUAGUACAAAUUACCACUCCGGGUUCAUUCAUUCAUUCAUUAAAAAAAAAUCGCUCAGCACUCACAACAAUCCAGAGACUAUCAUAAGCAUCAAAGACAUAACAGGGAAUGAAGCCAAUGAAAACCCCUUUGUUUAUGAAAUUAGUAGUGGCGAUUCAGUCCCAUUUGGUCUGUUAGGCGCUUAGGAUGAUCUUUUCAGUGCCAUAGGGAAUGCAGACUAUAGAAAAGCUACUGGGCAUUGGUCUUCUAGCGCUUCAUAACCUCGGCCAGCCAUGGGGGUGGCUCAUUAUAAUAUGACACAAAGCAGUAGAGUUUAAGGCAAAACAAAUCAUUCGGGCUAUCAGAGCUAAAAACCCUGAAUGUACUAGGAAUUCAGUAGGCACAUUUGAUAAAUAAAUCUUUUCUUUGAGCAAGACAGUUUUUGAUAAACAAUCUUGUGGAAUUUGAAAACUGAGAAAAAAUGGUAGAAACAAAAUAUGGUGGUCAAAAUAGGGAGGUUACUUCUCUUAUUGCUUAUCUUAUGUGCUUGUUCAAAAAAUGAUACUCUAUAAUUUACUAAAAUUUAGAGGAAAGUAUUUUGUGGCCCGUGAAACUUUGAUGUAACCCUAUUAUUUAAGCUCAUAUUGGCAGUUACAGAUUAAUAAUUGCCAAAACAUUCAAAUUACACAAAAUUGUAUUUUAUGUAGCCAAGUGUGACUUCCAAAUAUGUUGAACUUGAGUCCAAGUUUAGACCAAAGCCCAUUUGCAGAAUGCCUGACACUAAACCUACUUGAUUAAAUUUCCCAGUCUCUCCGCUUUCCACUGACGGUCUCUGAGCUGUUUAUUCCUCUAGCUCCAAAAGCAAGUGAUGGCUGUUUUGGGGGAGAGGACAAGGUAUGAAUGGCUUGUUGUUUGGGGGGAGAGAGUUGUUGGCUAAAGUCAGAACAUCAUUUCCAAGAUUUUAUUUUUAAAGACCUACAAAGUUAGGAGGUAAAUUCAAGCACCCUAAUUAGAUGACCUUGAAGGAGACAAGAGGACAGGGCUUGCUAUUUUGUUUUCUGCAUUCGUUAAAAACCAGAUCUGAGUGAUGGCAAUAUGGUUUAUUAUCAAGAAGUGGAAGUGAAAGAUUUCGAAUCUAUAAUGUGUCUGGUUUCCCUACUUUUCCAAUCACUCGGGCGAUCAGAACUCAAAACCUGAAUGUACUAGGAAUUUAGUAGGCACAUUUGAUAAAUGUAUUGCUUUCUGAUACCUCAGAGGGUUUAUUUUAAACAUUGUUGAGCAUGCUGUAUUCUUUGAGGAAAUACAAGCUCCUUCACUUAGCUGUGCUCACGGUCUGCUGGCAGAAACAGCUACACGAAUAUAAGACCAUGAUCCAAAGAGCAGCUGUGAGGUGUGACCUCAUUUGAGACUCUUCAACCUCUAAGCUCUAAGUCAGAAAGAUUGUGUCCUGGGUAGAGUUUCUCCUAAACGGUUUGUCCACACGGUAACAAAGUGUACGUGAGGGUCAGUAGUGAAAUAGUCAUAUGUACAGCCCUGGUAAUGAAUAGUGCCCUAUGAAAUCUGAAUUAACAAAAAGGAAACUAGCAUACAUCUUAGAAGAAAGGUCUAGUGAACCAAAAAAUCUAGCCUUUCAGGGAGUAGAAAAUUGUUCUUUAUUAAACUAUGGGCUAAAUUUAACUGAGCGCCACCAGAGCUACCCAGACUUGAUGGCGAUGAUCAACAAUAAGCGAUGACCGCCGCUUCAUUCAGGUGGCCUCUGAGCACCUGGAGGUGAGCCAGAAGGGGGAUUGGGUGCUGAACCCCCCUCCCUCCUGACAUGGAACUGCCAGGGCCCCAAAAAGUCAUGUGAGGUCCACGAAGUUCAUAGCAGUGGAUGGAGGUGCUCUUUUAAAUUAUGAUUAUGUCAUAAAAAAAAAAACAGAUCCUACCAUUU